GGGCCCGCACAAGUGGUGGAGCAUGUGGUUUAAUUCGAUGCAACGCGAAGAACCUUACCAACCCUUGAAAUCUAGCGAAGUUCACAGAGAUGAGAAUGUGCCUUCGGGAACGCUAUGACAGGUGUUGCAUGGCUGUCGUCAGCUCGUGUCGUGAGAUGUAUGGUUAAGUCCAGUAACGAGCGCAACCCUCACUUUUAGUUGCCAUCAUUAAGUUGGGCACUCUGAAAGAACUGCCCGUGAUAAGCGGGAGGAAGGUGUGGAUGACGUCAAGUCCUCAUGGCCCUUACGGGUUGGGCUACACACGUGCUACAAUGGUAGUGACAAUGGGUUAAUCCCAAAAAGCUAUCUCAGUUCGGAUUGUCGUCUGCAACUCGACGGCAUG
rnacentral:rRNA from 1 species